GAAGUGGUGAAUGUUGUGUAUGUUAGUCUGUGCCUGGAGAGCUCUCAGCAUGAUGAAAUGCUACUGCACUGUACUAUGAGGAGCAAACCUUCCCAGAAGAGAAGACUAAAGGGAAAGUUUAUUUAAAGUCUUUGAAAACUUGUUCCCCAUAUCAUCCAACUGAAAGUCUUACCCAGGGAACUCUACUCCUGGUACCGGACAUGAUUGCUCUUCAUUUGCUGGUCAUGUCUGGUUAGGCGGAUUCAACCUUAACCCAGAGUGUCCAUUCUCAACCUGUGGGUUGUGACCUCAUUGGCAAACCACUACCUGCAAUAACAUAUACAUUAUGAUUCAUGUCAGUAGCAAAAUCACAAUUUUGAAGUAGCAACAACAAAAAAAAAAA
ensembl:lincRNA predicted gene 43698